rfam:Triticum aestivum genome assembly, contig: Triticum_aestivum_CS42_TGACv1_scaffold_407304_5BL
GAAGUACUCCCUCCGUCCGGAAAUACUUGUCAUCAAAUAAAUAAAAGAGAAUGUAUCUAGAUGUAUUUUAGUUCUAGAUACAUCCCUUUUUAUUCAUUUUGAUGACAAGUAUUUUUGGACGGAGGGAGUAUGAU